AUUGAACGCUGGCGGCAUGCCUUACACAUGCAAGUCGAACGGCAGCACGGGGGCAACCCUGGUGGCGAGUGGCGAACGGGUGAGUAACAUAUCGGAACGUGCCCCUGGAGUGGGGGAUAACUAGUCGAAAGACUAGCUAAUACCGCAUACGAUCUACGGAUGAAAGUGGGGGAUCGCAAGACCUCAUGCUCGUGGACGCGGCCGA
rnacentral:rRNA from 1 species